UACGGAGGGGGCUAGCGUUGUUCGGAAUUACUGGGCGUAAAGCGCGCGUAGGCGGCUUUGUAAGUUAGAGGUGAAAGCCCGGAGCUCAACUCCGGAAUAGCCUUUAAGACUGCAUCGCUAGAACGUUGGAGAGGUAAGUGGAAUUCCGAGUGUAGAGGUGAAAUUCGUAGAUAUUUGGAAGAACACCAGUGGCGAAGGCGACUUACUGGACAACUGUUGACGCUGAGGUGCGAAAGCUAGGGGAGCAAACGGG
rnacentral:rRNA from 1 species